UAGCCUAGUGGUUAAGGCUAUGGAUCCCCAAUCCAGAGACGGCGGGUUCGAUUUCCGC
rnacentral:tRNA from 1 species